rnacentral:rRNA from 1 species
AAGCUCGUAGUUGAAUUUCGGGAUCAAAUUGUCGGUCGUGCCUCGGUACGUACUGGCGUUAUUGGUUCCUCCCUUCUGAAGAACCGCGAUGUCAUUAAUUUGGUGUCGCGGGGAAUCAGGACUGUUACUUUGAAAAAAUUAGAGUGUUUAAAGCAGGCUCGCGCUUGAAUACAUUAGCAUGGAAUAAUGAAAUAGGACGUUUGAUUCUAUUUUGUUGGUUUCUAGGAUCGACGUAAUGAUUAAUAGGGAUAGUUGGGGGCAUUAGUAUUCAAUUGUCAGAGGUGAAAUUCUUGGAUUUAUUGAAGACUAACUACUGCGAAAGCAUUUGCCAAGGAUGUCUUCAUUAAUCAAGAACGAAAGUUAGGGGAUCGAAGACGAUCAGAUACCGUCGUAGUCUUAACCAUAAACUAUGCCGACUAGGGAUCGGAUGAUGUUAAUUUUUUAAUGACUCAUUCGGCGCCUUACGGGAAACCAAAGUGUUUGGGUUCCGGGGGGAGUAUGGUCGCAAGGCUGAAACUUAAAGGAAUUGACGGAAGGGCACCACCAGGGGUGGAGCCUGCGGCUUAAUUUGACUCAACACGGGAAAACUUACCAGGUCCAGACAUAGUAAGGAUUGACAGAUUGAGAGCUCUUUCUUGAUUCUAUGGGUG